GAGGAAUUAUUAAGGCCUCGGUUUGUGUUAUCUGCCUCAGCCGUCGGCUUCGGUUGAUAACACAAACCUCUGCCUUAAUAAUUUCUCAUAUCCUACUCGACCUCAUGCAAUAAUUGUUUAAUAUCAUGCGAAAGCCGAAUCCAAUAAUUGUUUUAUUAUACAUUUAAAGACAUGAGAAACGUAGGUAGGGAAAAAGUACAAUUUGAAUAUCAAACACCUUGCACAAAGUCAAAGGUCAGCUAAAUAUGCUAUUUCUACUUCUGUUUACCCCUUUGUAACUUUUUUCGUGCUAUCACUAUCCUUAUCCUUAUUUGGGGGCUUCGGUGGCCAAGUGGUUAGCGCACUUGCCUUUCACCUCUGAGGCUGCAAGUUCGAGUCUCACUAAGUACCUUCUGAGUGCGACUCGAACCCAGUCCCCAUGUGAAAAGAGUAAAAAGUCAACGCUCUGCCGAAAGCCGUGGGUUUUCCCCGGGUACUCCGGUUUCCUCCCACAGGGAAAGUUGACAGGGUGGGUUAGGUUAAAAGGGCCCACAGUAAUUGGCAUAUGCUGUUGUGGUGAACCUGCCCUAGUUGGCAAAGCUAAAUAAAUAAAUAAAAAUAAAUAUCUGCCAAUAAUUUGGAGAUUUCACUUCCGUUCACCGAAGAAAAUCUGCUGUAGGCCAUUGUUUGUUUGUUUUUUCCGCGCACUUAUAGGUUCAAGCUUUUUUGGCUGCGCAAGGGUUUGGGCACGAGAGAGUCCAAUAUUUUUUUUGGAUACAAGUUCGAUCCAAAAAAACAAUUAUUGGACGCUGAUGACGUCAUCGGGGAAAAAUACGUAAUAAAUGCCGAAUACUGAAAAUUAGCCGGUGCUUUCCGACCAAUUAGAAACGAGAAUACAUAUUAAAUGUAUAAUAAUUUACCUUAUUGCAGUGUGAGCUUUGUCUGGCAGUAGCUCUCUGCGCCAAAAUCUCUAGCGAGGGUUUAAUUGUGUUGUUGAAGGCGCCGCUCAGUAGCUUGUCAACGCAAUUUGUGCGUGAGGCAUCGAUAUUCUUUUCAAGCUCCGUGUACAAACGUUGUAGAGAUUCCAGAUCGUUUGCCGCAAUCGCAAACUGAACAUUGUCGAAAAUGUUUCCAGAUAUCGCUGGUGGAAUUCGCUCGUAUAGAUAGACGUUCGAAAUAGUAAACACUCAGAGGUAAACACUAUACACUAAUGCCGUGUUGACGAAUACCUCACGCUGCGAAUCCGUCGAAAAUAUAAGCCAAUGACAAUGCAGAAUGUUUUUUAAAUGGUUCAAUCAGAAGGCUCAUACAGAGCCCCUGAAUCUGCAAAUCCGUCAGGCCUCCGCACAGAUCCGUCGCAAAUGGCCGUAACCCUCGAAAUAAACGUGUCAGCCAAUCAGAUAGCCGCAUUUAACCCCCGAAUCCGUCAACUUUCAUGCGUACGAACGCUGUACGUGACUGACUAACAUUACUUUGCCGAAGUUCUGCCGCAGCAUGAAACGUAUAAAUG